UGUAAUUAUAUUCAUGUGUUAGCCACUGAUGUUACAUACGGAUUGGGAGAAUAAUUUACUUAAAAAAAAUGAAGCCAACCUGAAGCAAACCUCGAAGUCUAUUCUUCUCAAAACCCUCGAGCUUUUCUUUCUCCCUCGAACCCUAUUCUUCUCAAAACCCUCAAGCUUUUCUCUCUCGCUCGAACCCUAUUUGAUCUCUCUCUAGAGCUCUUGCGAUUUCACAUCUCUCUCGAGCCCUCUUCGCUCACGCUGUCCCUCUCUCGAGUCCUCUUUAUUUUCAUUGUCCCUCUCUCGAACCCUUGCUUCUUCCCCUCUCUCUCGAACUGUCGUCGCAUAACAACGUAGCAAUCUCGUUGUCCUUCAUUGACGAAGCAAUCACCUUCAUCGUUCGUUUUGGAGCCGUAGUUCGACGCUGAGAGAGUACCUUCAUUAACCCUAGGUUCGUGAUAAUAUUCCAGGAGUAGGAAGGAUUCGUAGAGGAGUGAAAAAUAGGAAAAUUGUUCGGUGAGAAAUACGAAUUAAGUCGUGUGUUCGGUGGAAAAGGAAGAUUCAACGGCUGAAUCAGUGAAACGUGGUAAAAUGAGAAUGUAAUCGCUGGAUUCGAUGGAGAAGGCUGUAGUGAUUUAUCAUAAAAUAUUCCGAAAUUUAUGUUCUUUCACUUCUCUUCGACAUUUAUGUAAAUGUUUUUGUGCAGGUUCAAGAAGUGUACGAAAUUUCAGCUGAGUAUGAAGGAAAGCGUGACCCUAAGAAACUGGAAGAACUUUGAAAUAUGAUAACUAUUUUGGAUGCAGGGGCUCUAUUAUUGUUGCCCAGUCCUUUUCCCACAUGCUUAACUUGGCCAACUUGGCCGAGGAGGUCCAGAUUUGUCGCCGCAGAAGGAACAAGGUGAAGAAAGGAGAUUUUGCAGAUGAGAACAAUGCAACUACAUAAUUAGCGGAAUUAACUACUUUUUGGUUUGCGCUGAAGAAUUUUUCAUUGCCCAGGCGGUAAUGCAGAUUAUGCUAUGGAUAUGCACCAGAAAGAACAACUUCAUGACAAUGUUGUACCAAUGAUGCAAUCGCAACAUUUCUCUAUGAUUUUGGUUUCAAAGUUAGAUCUUUGCAGGCACUCGGGUUUGUUUUAAUUGCUAGGCUAGAAUAUAUGUUGGAAAGUUAUGUUGGAAAAAUACUGGAGGAAACAUUAUUCUCUGCUGCUGAUACUUGCCUUAAGAUUCAAGGAUUACAAAACAUGUACGAGUAUCUUCUGGAUGCUGAAAGCCAAAUGGGAACUGAUAAAGAUGAUGAUAACGUUGUUGGUUACAUAGUAGGAGCUGGAAAGAGUGUACCUGUUGCUGUUGGUGCCGGUGAUACAAACAUAUGUGGGGGUAUAGUUCAGUUAUAUUGGGAUAAUAUUUUGGGCAGAUGUUUGGAUUUCAAUUAACAAGUUCGUCAAUCAGCCCUGAAGGUUUUUGGAAUGAAUUGAAAGAAAGGUUGAAGUACCAAGGGUUGCAG